rnacentral:rRNA from 1 species
GUGAGGAAUUUUCCGCAAUGGGCGAAAGCCUGACGGAGCAAUGCCGCGUGAAGGAUGAAGGCCUAUGGGUUGUAAACUUCUUUUCUCAGAAACGAAUUAUGACGGUAUCUGAGGAAUAAGCAUCGGCUAACUCUGUGCCAGCAGCCGCGGUAAGACAGAGGAUGCAAGCGUUAUCCGGAAUGAUUUGGCGUAAAGCGUCUGUAGGUUGUUUAAAAAGUAUUCUGUCAAAGAUUAGGGCUUAACCCUAGAUAGGCAGAAUAAACUUUUAAGCUAGAGUUUGGUAGAGGCAGAGGGAAUUCCCGGUGGAGCGGUGAAAUGCGUAGAUAUCGGGAGGAACACCGAAGGCGAAGGCACUCUGCUGGGCCAAUACUAACACUGAGAGACGAAAGCGAGGGGAGCAAAUGGGAUUAGAAACCCUUGUAGUCC